rnacentral:rRNA from 1 species
CAGCCGCCGCGGGAAUACGUAGGGUGCGAGCGUUAAUCGGAAUUACUGGGCGUAAAGCGUGCGCAGGCGGUUUUGUAAGACAGGCGUGAAAUCCCCGGGCUCAACCUGGGAAUGGCGCUUGUGACUGCAAAGCUAGAGUGCGGCAGAGGGGGAUGGAAUUCCGCGUGUAGCAGUGAAAUGCGUAGAUAUGCGGAGGAACACCGAUGGCGAAGGCAAUCCCCUGGGCCUGCACUGACGCUCAUGCACGAAAGCGUGGGGAGCAAACAGGAUUAGAUACCCCCGUAGUCCCUGUCUCUUAUAC